UACGGGGGGGGGCAAGCGUUGUUCGGAAUUAUUGGGCGUAAAGGGCGCGUAGGCGGUGUGGCAAGUCUCCUGUGAAAUCUCCGGGCUUAACCCGGAAAGGUCAGCCGAUACUGCGGGGCUAGAGUGCAGAAGGGGCAACUGGAAUUCUCGGUGUAGCGGUGAAAUGCGUAGAUAUCGAGAGGAACACCUGCGGCGAAGGCGGGUUGCUGGGCUGACACUGACGCUGAGGCGCGAAAGCUAGGGGAGCGAACGGG
rnacentral:rRNA from 1 species